rnacentral:rRNA from 1 species
CUGCCCUGUGACAUAUGUUUAACGGCCGCGGUAUUUUGACCGUGCAAAGGUAGCGCAAUCACUUGUCUUUUAAAUGAAGACCUGUAUGAAUGGUAUAACGAAGGCUUAGCUGUCUCCUUUCCCCGGUCAAUGAAAUUGAUCUCCCCGUGCAGAAGCGGGGAUAAAAACAUAAGACGAGAAGACCCUAUGGAGCUUAAGACAAAAUAGUAGUCCAUAUAAAGUAACUUCAAAUAAAAGGUUAUAUUUUUUGCCUCCUGCUUGAAUGUCUUUGGUUGGGGCGACCGCGGGGAAAUAAAUAACCCCCAUGUGGAUUGAGAGAACCUCUCCCAAAACCAAGAGUCACCACUCUAAGUAACAGAACCUCUGACCAAAAUGAUCCGGUAAACACCGAUCAACGAACCGAGUUACCCUAGGGAUAACAGCGCAAUCCCCUUCCAGAGCCCAUAUCGACAAGGGGGUUUACGACCUCGAUGUUGGAUCAGGACAUCCUAAUGGUGCAGCCGCUAUUAAGGGUUCGUUUGUUCAACGAUUAAAGUCCUACGUGAUCUGAGUUCAGACCGGAGUAAUCCAGGUCAG